rnacentral:rRNA from 1 species
UCGGGAAUUUUGGGCAAUGGGCGAAAGCCUGACCCAGCAACGCCGCGUGAAGGAUGAAGUAUUUCGGUAUGUAAACUUCGAAAGAAUAGGAAGAAUAAAUGACGGUACUAUUUAUAAGGUCCGGCUAACUACGUGCCAGCAGCCGCGGUAAUACGUAGGGACCAAGCGUUGUUCGGAUUUACUGGGCGUAAAGGGCGCGUAGGCGGUUUGUCAAGUCAGUUGUGAAAUCUCCGAGCUUAACUCGGAACGGUCAACUGAUACUGUCAAACUAGAGUACAGAAGGGGCAAUCGGAAUUCUUGGUGUAGCGGUGAAAUGCGUAGAUAUCGGAAGGAACAUCAGUUGCGAAGGCGGCUCUCUGGACUCAAACUGACGCUGAGGCACGAAAGCGUGGGUAGCGAACAGGAUUAGAUACCCCCGUAGUCCCUGAGCGGGCUGGCAAGGCGCAU